GCCGAUGAGGAACGAGCCCGGCCCUGAAGGAUGAUGAAAGCUACCACUACUGAGG
rnacentral:ncRNA from 14 species